UACGUAGGGUGCAAGCGUUGUCCGGAAUUACUGGGCGUAAAGGGCGCGUAGGCGGCCUACUAAGUCAGACGUGAAAUCCCCCGGCUUAACCUGGGAACUGCGUCCGAUACUGGUGGGCUCGAAUCCGGGAGGAGGGAUGUGGAAUUCCAGGUGUAGCGGUGAAAUGCGUAGAUAUCUGGAGGAACACCGGUGGCGAAGGCGGCGAUCCUGGACCGGUAUUGACGCUGAUGCGCGAAAGCCAGGGGAGCAAAGCGGG
rnacentral:rRNA from 1 species